CAAAUUAUUUGAUCAACUCGAUCUUUAUAUCGACUUUUGAGAGAAUUAUAUUUUCUAAUUUUCUCGAAACAGCCACGUAUUUGAUGUUUAAUAACAUGGAAGAAAACGAAGUACAUAAUGGACAAAUCAUAUUAGCGGUAUCACCUCGGAAUUGAAGAUAGUAGUCGGUAGUCGCGGCCACCCUACAAUAGGUUUUAAGGUGUCAAAAUAAAGAGCACGUCGAGAUAUGUUUUUCAUGGAUAUUCUACUACGGCGAUCAAACACCAAUCUACACUUGUAAAAUUAAAAAAACUUCAAGCUGAUUUUCAAUGUGAAGAUGGAAAAC